UACGGGGGGGGCAAGCGUUGUUCGGAAUUACUGGGCGUAAAGGGCUCGUAGGCGGCCAACUAAGUCAGACGUGAAAUCCCUCGGCUUAACCGGGGAACUGCGUCUGAUACUGGAUGGCUUGAGUUUGGGAGAGGGAUGCGGAAUUCCUGGUGUAGCGGUGAAAUGCGUAGAUAUCAGGAGGAACACCUGUGGCGAAAGCGGCUCACUGGACCACAACUGACGCUGAGGCGCGAAAGCUAGGGGAGCAAACAGG
rnacentral:rRNA from 1 species